AUGAUGGUGUUGCCGACCUCUAGGAUGUGCCUUUGGUCCAGCUCCAAGUAUCCCAACAAGUGCAGCUUGGGGGCAUGGCCAAUCUUCACCUUGUUGCAGGUGCCAUUAGGGGUACAACCUUCGGACUGGAUGAGCCGCUCAAGGCGUGGGGCAUUCACCACGAAGAUUUCUUCAAGGAAGCACACGAUGAUCUGCACGCACCGGAGGCUUUGGCUGACAAGGCGGAGGCAAAGCCUGAAGAGAUUCCCUUCGAGACAGAGCGUCUCCAGCACGGGGCUCCUGUCGAGGACGAAGUCCAAGUCCCUGCUCUCCAUGAUGACAUUGCAGAGCCCGAGCUCACAGAGGUUGCGGAAACAGGUGGCGCUCGGGAGGCCGGCCGUGUCGGGGAACUUCCAGGGGCCGAGGUAG
rnacentral:rRNA from 1 species